UACAGAGGUCUCAAGCGUUGUUCGGAAUCACUGGGCGUAAAGGGUGCGUAGGUGGCGUGGUAAGUCAGAUGUGAAAGCCCAGGGCUCAACCCUGGAAUUGCAUCCGAUACUGCUGUGCUGGAGUACUGGAGGGGUGACUAGAAUUCUCGGUGUAGCAGUGAAAUGCGUAGAUAUCGAGAGGAAUACCAAAGGCGUAGGCAGGUCACUGGACAGUUACUGACACUGAGGCACGAAGGCCAGGGGAGCGAACGGG
rnacentral:rRNA from 1 species